AUGCCGUGAAGAAGUCAGCUCCCCUUGGAUGGUGCAGUGUAGCAAAUCAAUGUCGAUUCAUUCAUUCUUUGGUGAGUGCACACUACUAGCACAUUCUUUGCUGUGAUCAAGUGCGACUCAUAUCCAGUUGUUUGCUCACAUUUUUAUUUGAUUAUGCCAUGCCGCUGCCAUUGUUUUCUUAAUCAUGAUUUGCUCCAACCUGGCAUUGUGUUGUACAACUACUAGUACGUACUUCAAUUGCAUGCAUGCAUGUUUGCUGUUCCCUGAACUGUUUGACUGUUUGCUGUUCCCUGAACUGUUUGACUGCCUGUAAUGCAUACGGCUUGUGUCUUGUUGCUCCCUGACCUGUUGUACUGUCCAUCUGUUCUGUUAACUUGCACUGGGCUGGUACUUAUCGUUUGCAAAAUAUAUCUCAGUUUUCGCUGUUAUGAGAAUGUUAUAUGCAUGGUUUCCUGUUAAAUCUAAAGUUCUGCCACAAAUUUUUCACUUAAUUAUGUUUCUAACUUUUCAUAAUUUAUUAUUUGCAGGUGCUGGCCUUCAUUCUUCAAAAGUUGGGUGUACAGGAGCUAUAAGAAGAAGAAUCCUGAAAAAAAACCACACCCAGAAUGCGUUUUGGCUCACUGGAGCUAGUUAUGUGUAUAUUUAGUUGUAUUUUAUAGCUGAAUACCAGAUUUUUACUAUGUACU
rnacentral:lncRNA from 1 species